AUCAACUAUUACCGAUGCCUGGAGCGGAACUGGGAGAUGACUGCACCGUGGACCGGGACAUAAAUAAAAGUACCAGUUAAAUUCAUCGUGGGCGACCUCGAUCUAACUUACCAUAUACCAGGGAUCCAAGAUUAUAUACACAAAGGUGGAUUUAAGGCUGUUGUUCCGAUGCUUGAAGAAAUAGUUGUUAUGGAAGGAGUUGCCCACUUUAUUAUCCAAGAGAAAGCAGAGGAAGUCACCAAGCACAUCUAUGACUUCUUUCAGAAAUUCUAAUCGGGUUCAUCAUGGAUCUACGACAAGCAACAAAUCCAGAAUUUUAAUUUCGU
rnacentral:misc_RNA from 1 species